rnacentral:rRNA from 1 species
UACGUAGGGGGCUAGCGUUGUCCGGAAUCAUUGGGCGUAAAGAGCGUGUAGGCGGCCAUACAGGUCAGCUGUGAAAACUCGAGGCUCAACCUCGAGACGUCGGUUGAAACCGUUUGGCUAGAGUCCGGAAGAGGAGAGUGGAAUUCCCGGUGUAGCGGUGAAAUGCGCAGAUAUCGGGAAGAACACCCGUGGCGAAGGCGGCUCUCUGGGACGGUACUGACGCUGAGACGCGAAAGCGUGGGGAGCGAACAGG